GGCCAGUGUCGCCCAAGAGCGUUAGGAUAUACUCGCUAUUGCACUUUAUAAUGCCAGCGUCGUCGCGAGCCUUUGCACCGUCGUCCUUCGACGAGCCCAGUAGCAGUCAUCUCGGCGCCUUCGCGCCCUCUCGUGUGGCGGCAGCACGCAUCAUACAGGCGUGGGUGCGCAGACGACGAGAGCAGCAAUACGCGCAUCGCCUGCUCAUGUGUCUCCACGUGAUGAAGGUUGCCCGCACCCCCGACGAGCCACAUUGCGAGGAUAGCGUGAACCCGUCCGCCUCCACCACCUUGCCGUCAGCGACGACCUCGUCGUCUUGCCCCGUCGAGCAUGGUGUUCCAGAUGAGGAAAGUCGCUUCACAAGACUGUACGAGGCUGUUGUGGAGUACGAGUCUGCACUGCGAGUGGAGAACUACACGCGGCGACGCCUUUUAGAUGAGUGUUGCGCCACCAGCGGUGCGGCUCGGCGGGCUUCGCAAAGAACGUGUCGCAUGCUGCGACAGCGACAUCCGGCUCUGCGCUCGUUGUCGCCGAGCAUCGAAGGCAUGCGCUCUGCCGGGGCCGACCGCACUCUGGCCGCUCGGCUCCUCGCGGACUCGGCAAUGCCAGCGGCAGAGAGGCUAAAGGCCUAUCUCAGUCCGGCGCUCUUCGCGUGGUGGUGUGCGUCACAGGGGCCGUCCACCUCCAGUGCGCAGGUAACAGCAGCGGCACCCCUACCCACCAGCGCCGUGGCGAGCGAUGUGAGACCGCAGCCCCCGCCUCCCCUGCACACAGAUGAGAGCGUCGCAGAAGUGGAUGAGGGUGCGCAUGGCGAAGGGCUGGAGGCUCUGUACAUGGACGUGAUUGGCCAGGAAGGGCCGGCGAAUAAUCGCGAGGCCGCUGUGAACGCCUCGUACACCAGAGAGCGAGAGGCUGCGGACAGGGCUGCACUUCUCAGGGCGCAGCAGGCCACCAUGGCAGGACGCCCCUGCGGCUUCGCGGCGCAUGGCGGCGCUCCGUCGACAGAUGUGUUACUGGGCAACGCGUCUUCGUUGCCGCCGGAGGAAGAUGACAUCAGUCUUGUGCUGCAGCCUGUCCUCGGCGGUGUUGCGCCGAGGCGAGGUCGCGGCAUUCUGGAGCACCUGGAGUCGGAGCCGUCGGUGACGACGAGCUCCGCCACGGUCGAUGAGUCAUGUCUGCAAGUUGGAAGGGAGACGGCAACACGCACGUGUGCCGUGUGCGAGCUGAGCGGCGUCUUCGCAGGCCCGCACAGCAGGUGUAUCAACGCGGUGGAACUGCAGGAAGAAGACGAACUGCACCCCUGUGGCACAUGCGGCGCACUGGUGCACAGCUACUGCGCCUGCUCAGGUACCACUGCCGACACCCACUACUGCUGCAGCCACUGCUGCCAGGGCGGUGACACGGUGUGAGCAUAUCCGCUCAAUGCCGCGUGGAAGCGAAUAGAGAGAUCGGGGGAGCGAAGAGACGCAGUGCGGCACGGGUUGUAGACUCUCCGCUGUGUGUGCGCCUUCCCUUUCGACCCGCACUCAAUACUUGUGGGAGGCUCGAUGUACAUUAUAAAGCGCUGGACGAAGGGGGGUGGAGAGGCAGGAAAAUGCCGUGUGAAGAGAUGAGGCACGCGGCGCGACGCACAGUGUGCAACCGCUCCUCGGUGCAUGAAAAGACACAGCAACGACGAAGACGACGGGUUGGACGUCUCUGCACGCGCGUGCGGCACUACUCCCUCCGCACCCCCCCCCUCUCUCUGUUGCCCGGCGUCGGCUGAGCCGCUGCCGUUGAUGUACAUGGUACCUUGCCCCUCUCGUGUCAGUCACUCUUCUCCGCACCCUUUUCCUUCCCCAUUCGGCUCACACGCCGUACCUCCGCCGGCAG
rnacentral:misc_RNA from 1 species